rnacentral:rRNA from 1 species
AUUGAACGCUGGCGGCAUGCCUUACACAUGCAAGUCGAACGGUAACAGGUCUUCGGAUGCUGACGAGUGGCGAACGGGUGAGUAAUACAUCGGAACGUGCCCGAUCGUGGGGGAUAACGGAGCGAAAGCUUUGCUAAUACCGCAUACGAUAUACGGAUGAAAGCAGGGGACCGCAAGGCCUUGCGCGGACGGAGCGGCCGAUGGCAGAUUAGGUAGUUGGUGGGAUAAAAGCUUACCAAGCCGACGAUCUGUAGCUGGUCUGAGAGGACGACCAGCCACACUGGGACUGAGACACGGCCCAGACUCCUACGGGAGGCAGCAGUGGGGAAUUUUGGACAAUGGGCGAAAGCCUGAUCCAGCCAUGCCGCGUGCAGGAUGAAGGCCUUCGGGUUGUAAACUGCUUUUGUACGGAACGAAAAGACUCUUUCUAAUAAAGAGGGUCCAUGACGGUACCGUAAGAAUAAGCACCGGCUAACUACGUG